rnacentral:lncRNA from 1 species
AGGGUGCUUUUAGAACCGAGCUGUUCAGGGUCCCAGAUCCUCUAAUGUAAUGCCAGCUGAACCCAGACAGUGACUUCCACCUCCAUGAAUGCAGGUGAUUGCAUCCUUUGAAAGCCUGUUUGCAUAGCAGACAAUGAAGCUGAGCAGAGAAAAACAAGAUGAGAGACAGAUGGAGUAGGAGACCUGAGAAGAUGGCUUGAGUCCAUGAAUUCUGGUGUUCCCUAGGCCACAUUUGCCCCCAUCCUUCCCAGAUUUUACUUUCUACUCUUGUCAGUCAUAUCUGCAAGGCUGACAGUUACCAGGGGCUGUGGCCAGGCAUGAGGGAGAAUGUGUCAUUGCUGGCUGCGUUGGUCAUAGCAACGUGUCUGCCUCAGAACAGAUCCAGCAUGGAUGAGCAAACAGAAAAAUGUGUAAGAAGGCUUGUGACUGAAACAGACCAAGGCAGACACUUGAAGAAGCAUCUUUCUUGUGAUCUCCUGGCUGGUACCCUGAAGUCCUGUUAUGCCAAUGGACCAGCAACCCUCGCAGGUAGGAAUUACUGCUAGAAAGACUAUCCUCUCUGCAGGCAAAUUUCUGGAAGGAUACUAUUUUAUGGGGAAAAAUGUGAACAACUGUAGGUAAUUUCACAGUCUGUAGGGCUUGUCUCCUAUUUGUAAUUUCUUACAUGUUUACUCGUGGUGGAAAUGUGGAGGUGGCUAAGGAACAAGCAGGCCCGCUGUGUUUCAGUGGCUUUCAGAGAAGGUGGCGGGAAAUAGUCUCUUCUCAGCAGCAGCUGAAUCCCAGUGUUAGCAGACGGAGCCUUGUUUCUUGAAAGUACAUUCCCAGGGAUUCCCUUGAAGAAUGUGAGAGAUCAGCUGGAAUGAAACUGGAUGUUUUAGGGUCCUGAGGGAAAUGUAAAUCCAGCAGCUUAUUCUCAAGAUGUGGCUCCAGAACCAGCAGCACUGAUUCUUCUAAAGAGUUGAGAGUGCAUUUUAGCUGUGAUAUCUUUGUACUCUUAAGAAAUCCUCCUCAACAAGACAAAACUUGACCAAGAGCAUUCAGUUGUCUUCCAGAAGGCUCCCUUGAGGACUGGGACUCUUCCUGGAUGCACCCAAUUAAUCUAUUGAAACAAGGACUCGUGAUGGCAGCCCCUCACCUGACAAACUGGAUUUUCCCCAGAGAUCAUUUGUAAUGUUUUUCCUGAAUCUUAUUUGUGUUUCCCUAUUAGCAAUGUUAUGUAUUUCUAUAUCGCAAAUCCUAAGUGCCGCCUGUAGAACCUAACCUCCAUUUAUAGCAUGGAACACACAGCCCAUCACGUAUCCUUGCCCUGGCCUUCAGCCUCUGAAUAUUUUAAUAAAAAUCACUCUUUCCU